GAUCAUUCCAAUGUUGGAGGAUCUGGUGGAACGUUCUGGUGUUGGAAAAUUCUGGUCCUGGAUCCCUCUGGGCAUCCCCAGGGUGGAACAUUCCGGAUUGGAGCAUCCUGGUGUGGGACCAUCCCAGGGAUGGAGCGUCCUGCUGUGGGAUCUCCUGCUGUGGGAUCAUCCCAUUGUGGGAUGUCCUGCUGUGGAAUCCUCUGCUGUGGGAUCUACUGUGGGAUCUCCUGCUGUGGGAUCUCCUGCUCUGGGAUCAUCCUGCUGUGGGAUCCUCUCCUGUGGGAUCUCCUGUUGUGGGUUCGUCCUGCUCUGGGAUCCUCUGCUGUGGGAUCUACUGUGGGAUCUCCAGCUGUGGGAUCAUCCCAGUAUCGGAGCAUCCCCGUGAUGGAACAUUCUGGGAUCGGAGCAUCCUGGUCCCAAAGCGUCCCAGUGUCAGAGCAUCCCAGUGUGGAGCAUCCCAGUAUGGAGCAUCCCAGUAUGGGAUCAUCCCAAUAUGGAGCAUCCCAGUGUGGGACAUCCCAGUGUGGGACAGCCCAGUGUGGAGCAUCCCAGUGCUGGACCAGAACAGGGCUGGAGCAUCCCAGUUUGGAAUAUCCCAGUAUGGAAUAUCCCAGUGUGGGACAUCCCAGUAUGGAGCAUCCCAGUUUGGAAUGUCCCACUAUGGAGCAUCCCAGUAUGGAACAUCCCAGUAUGGAGCAUCCCAGUAUAGAAUAUCCCAGUGUGGAGCCAUCCCAGUAUGGAGCAUCCCAGUGUGGGACAUCCCAGUGUGGGAUCACCCUGGUGUGGGAACAUCUUGGUGCCAGAGAUGUGAGUGAUGGAACAGCCCAGUGCUGCUCCAUCCCAGUCCAUCCCAGUCCAUCCCAGUGCUGCUCCAUCCCAGUGCCAGCCUAUCCCAGUCCCAGUCCAUCCCAGUAACGGAGCAUCCCAGUGCCAAUCCAUCCCAGUACCAGUCCAUCCCAGUGCCAGUUUAUCCCAAUACCAGUUUAUCCCAGUGCCAGUUUAUCCCAAUGCCAGUCCAUCCCAGUGCCAAUCCAUCCCAGUGCCAGCCCAUCCCAGUCCCAGCCUAUCCCAUUAUCAGCCCAUCCCAGUCCCAGUUUAUCCCAGUCCCAGCCCAUCCCAUCCCAUCCCAGUGCUGGCCCAUCCCGAGGGGAAACUGAGGCAGGCUGUGGGCGGAGCGGGUGGCAGUGGCAGUGUUGGGGUCCC
rnacentral:lncRNA from 1 species